AUUGCCAACGCAGGUCAAUAUGUGGUAUCUGUUCUUAUCAGCUUAAUUUCUGAUUCGGGUUGUAUUUCUACCCAAUAUAUUAAACUUAGUUUUGCAAGAUGGCAAUGGUGCUUGAAGCCUGCUUCACCUUCGCCGCGGGUCAGGCCAGGUAUUGCACUAUCUUCGGGAUUUUUGGUCUACGGACA